UCUUGACGAGUCAAAAAAAAAAAUUAUUUCCGAACUAUAAUUUGAUAUCUAUGUACAUAAGAUCGUUACUUUAAACUCGUUGAUAUCGCAGAAAUUUAAUCUAAGAAGGAUCGAUAUUCUAUGGAUAAAGAGCUUUUAGUGGAUGAAAUUCACCGCUGUCUUUCGCCUAAUAUUGCAUCGUUAUGAAAUAACCGACACGCUAUUAAAAUCACAAGUAGAUGCGCAUUACAAAUGCUAAGACCUUAAGGAGGAAAAAUGUCGAGCAGUCGUCACGGGACGAAAAACAAAGAACAAUCGGUGCUUCUCAGCGCAAAAUAGUUAAUACAAGGUAUAUAAUAAGCUAACUGGAUAAUUCGCAAUAACGAUCGCCGCUCUAACGGUAUAUUACCACAUAUGCGUAUGUAUAUCGACGUUCGGUCAGCAAAUGUUUCCACGAUCAAAUAUUGCGCGGCCGCGGUUUAAUCAGCGCGAGUUGGAACGAGAGUGGUGCGACAGCUUUUUAAUAUCGCGCCGUGUGGUGGCGAACAGACAGCCGGCUCGAGUCGUCACGAAUCACGUGGGUGCAUCGACUGACAUUUCACCUGGCAUUCAGCAGGAAUUUUACCUGGCCACUAACCGAGCCAUCGCGAUCUCCUGCAUACAGUAUCGGCCGCCUUGAAACAGACUUUUUAUCCGACGGACUUUGGAACGUGUUUACCGAGCAUCGUUCAACGCCUUAUGGUCUGCGAGAUCGAUGUAAUUCUUGUUCGUAACAGAUGUUCCAUGUAACGGAACUUCUUCUGAGUUUAACGGGAUCGAAUGAAAAAAUGUAUAGCGAAACGUGAACAUCAUUCUGGAAUCAUACAAUCGGAGAUAGGUAACCUUGGACAGGUGAAAAUCGACAUGCACAUUGACCUGAAUUGGAGAACUCGAUAAAAGGGAC